AGAUUGAACGCUGGCGGCAUGCCUUACACAUGCAAGUCGAACGGCAGCACGGGGGGUAACCCCUGGUGGCGAGUGGCGAACGGGUGAGUAAUAUAUCGGAACAUGCCCUGUAGCGGGGGAUAACGCGUCGAAAGAUGUGCUAAUACCGCAUACGCUCUACGGAGGAAAGCGGGGGUCGCAAGACCUCGCACUAUAGGAGUGGCCGAUAUCGGAUUAGCUAGUUGGCGGGGUAAAAGCCCACCAAGGCGACGAUCCGUAGCUGGUCUGAGAGGAUGAUCAGCCACACUGGAACUGAGACACGGUCCAGACUCCUACGGGAGCAGCAGUGGGAAUUUUGGGCAAUGGGCGCAAGCCUGAUCCAGCCAUGCCGCGUGAGUGAAGAAGGCCUUCGGUUGUAAAGCUCUUUCGGCAGGAACGAAAUGGUUCGUGCUAAUACCACGGAUUGAUGACGUACUGAAGAAGAAGCACCGCUAACUACGUGCCAGCACG
rnacentral:rRNA from 1 species